rnacentral:rRNA from 1 species
CAAGAUAGCGACUGCGGAGGAUCAUUAAGAUUCUAAGGCUUCGGUCUUAAUUUCGGCUGUGCGCUCAGGCUGCACGCCGAUAACCUCUCACACCUGUGCACCUUUUCGGUUGCGGCUUCGGCCGCUUCCGCUUUUACAUGCAACCACGAAAAGUCUAGAAUGUGACGAAAACUAUAAAGUAACAACUUUCAACAACGGAUCUCUUGGCUCUCGCAUCGAUGAAGAACGCAGCGAAAUGCGAUAAGUAAUGUGAAUUGCAGAAUUCAGUGAAUCAUCGAAUCUUUGAACGCACCUUGCGCUCCUUGGUAUUCCAUGGAGCAUGCCUGUUUGAGUGUCACGUAAACCCUCACCCCUGCGAUGUAACAGUCGCCUGCGGUGGACUUGGACCGUGCCGGUAAUCGGCUCGUCUUGAAAUGCAUUAGCUGGUGCUUUUAGAGUGCUGGGCGAACGGUGUGAUAAUUAUCUGCGCCGACUGCCCUGGGCCUCUUCAGCGGCGCUGCUUACAGCCGUCCCUUGUGGACAACUAUUUUAAAGCUUUGGCCUCAAAUCAGGUAGGACUACCCGCUGAACUUAAGCAUAUCAAUAAGCCGGAGGAAAAAGAUCCCUACGCAACCUUGUUACGAUUAUUCAC